AAUCCCAUAAAGACCGCUUUUAUAAAGGUGGCGACUCCUCCCCUCGUUCGCAUACUCUGUCACUGCCGCUUUUUCUGCGUCUCCAUCAUCUCAGAUCGCGAUGGCGACCGUCGGAGGGAUCAAGGAAGUGGAAGGGAUUGCUAACAGCGCCGAGACCGAGCAGCUCGCCCGCUUCGCCGUCGACGAACAUAACAAGAAAGAGAAUGCUCUCUUGGAGUUCGUGCGCGUGGUCAAGGCGAAGGAGCAGGUGGUUGCAGGGACCCUGCACCACUUGACCGUCGAGGCCGUCGAUGCAGGGACGAAGAAGGUCUACGAGGCCAAAGUGUGGGUCAAGCCAUGGCUCAACUUCAAGGAGCUGCAGGAGUUCAGGCACGCUGCGGACUCGGCCUAAGGAUCAUGGUCUUGGGCGUGGUAAUACGAUGCUGUGAGACCGCAUGUUGCUUACAAGUUGGUAUUUAUCAUGUCUAGGAGGUGAUUGAAGACUUUUGCCAAGUUUGAAUUGAAGAUCCUGUGUAUCAAUAAUUUCAGGAGUAACUAUAGUAGCUUUAGCUUUACUACAGGAACUCCUGAUUAAUGGCUUUAUUAAGGUGUUGUGAUACACCUAUAUAAUUCCUUCUUGGAACUCAUGUAUGUUUGAUAUAUAUUUAUAUCAAAUUUGGUGCUUAAAUAA